CCCCACGCUCACGACUGCUGCACGCUGCGCGCCUCCACGCGAAUGGACCGCGGCCGCCGGCGCCUUCUUGUUGGCCGCUCCCCCGCCCCGCGCCCGCCCCGCGCCCGGCCAGCCCGGCCCGCCGAGAAAGCCUUAAUUGAUACUCAGAACGCCUGGCUGCCACCCCCGCAGCACUAGCUCUUCCCAGGAGAAGAGCAGAAUCAAGGACAGUUCCUCUCUAGCAGUGUGCUAACCAAGAGGAACCGAGGCCUGGGGUGAGCAGGGAUCACAUUUAUUAAUGAAAGAGAGAGAGGAGGCGGAGAGAAGCAGAGAGCUCAGCUGGCACAUGCAGUACCAGGGAUGGAUGUCUGAACCUCCUGCUCCAGAGACUGAUGCUGCACCCGCUGUGCCAGUGGUGUUCUUGUGGAAGCUUCUGCUCAGCUGUUGACGGUGGCACUGUAGUCCCUGUCCUGCUGCUUCAGAGCACUGAAAUGCCAGUUAAAGCCUAAGGAAGAAGCAUUUUUCUUUAUCCUGGACUUGGAAUUGAAGACCCCCAUGCCCUUUUCACUCAGGACCAGCCCCUAAGACUGCUUAGGUCCCUCUGCUGGGCCACAUUGAGAGGCCCCUUACUCCAAGACUGGUGCUGACUGGGGAUCCAGUCUCUUGAGGUAUCAGAACAUUUGGGACCCUUUGGUGACUGUCUUCACCACCAGGCACUCAUGUUCACCUCUCCAUGACAAAGUGGCAUGGAGGGGACCCAUAGUCUUUUCUGGCCUCUGGUGGGCUGGAAGGGACUGUGCUUCAGCGGGGCACCCAGUGCUGAUAGGGUGGGCGCAGAGGGCCAUCACAGCCUCUCUCCUGGGACCACUCACAGUAGGACAACAGAGGGACACAUAAAAGGCAGAGUGCCGAGGCAGGUGCUGGGGGUGGGGGUGUUCCUUAGGGAGAAGGCAAACUGGAAUUCCUUGACCUCAUAAGGAAACAGCUUGGAUCUGUACAGGGAGGGGUGGCAUGGGGGAGGAUGGAGCCUCUGGGACAGGGGCCAGCAUUGCAGAAGAAGGCUUGGAGAGGUGCUGGGGACUCUGGUCUUGCCAAAACUCAGAAUUCCAUGAGACAGCCUAUCAGUGGCCCAGAGCCUAAGAGCUCCUUCCCUCCCUGCUCUGGGAGAUAAGCAGCAAGCCAUUGCUUGUUAAGGCCUGCCUCCCUGGGCUGGCUGGCAGGCAAGUGACGGGGAGCCGCACCCUCAUACCCCAGCAGGGAGGCAGGGCAGGCCUUUAGUUCACUCUAUAGCCUGGCCCACAGCAAGCCCUCAAAAGGCUUGUGUGUCCAGUCACAGGGCUGCUCCUCCCUUCUCUAGCUCAAUACAAGUGCAUGUACCACUGAUCGGGGACCAGCCUAGCCUCUCUGCUUCUCUGUCAGCCUUUGUUACCCAGGACCAGGACAGUGCCGCCCCUGGUCCUCCUGGUCCUCAUGCUGCAAUUCCCAGCCCUCUAAUCUCGCCAUAUCCUGGUUCUACUUAGAACAUGGUUGUCACAUAGAUUGCAUUCUUCCUGGAACAGCUCUUUACUGCCUAAGAUUGCGACCAUCCAGUAACAUUCGGACUCAUUAGCAAGACUGGCACCCCUGCCUCCCUGCUAUGCGCCUACACAGCGAGGCCUAUCCAGACCCGGACACUCCGGGCCCGCCGCCAAGGAGCCCCUAGGGUGGAAGGGCCCCCCCUGCCUGGGCGCUGAGGAGCCUGUGCCAGUGCCCACUGGCACGCCCGGCCCCUUUCCAAGGGUGCUUGCUCCUCAAGAGCUGGCGGCCUCCUGGCCCAGUGCCCCACUUCUUCCCGAGCGAGCAGAUAGUGGAGAGUGGAGCAAGGACUUCGAAGAAGGCAGGGAGGCGGAGGGGGGCCGGCGGGCGACGGCCCUGUAGGGUGUAGGGUGGCGAAGCGGCCGCUGGCCCUGGUUCUGGGGUGCGGGCGGCCCUUCCCCGACGUGGCGCGCGCACACAGCGGCCAGCCUGGACUGGGAACGGGGCCCUUCCCGCGGUGGUGGGCGGAUCGUGGCGGGGAAGCCCUGGCGCUGGGGCCCGGGGAGGAGGUGCCCAGCACGAAGGGUCUGCGGGGUCGCGGGUGGAGGGGGCAGGUGACAGGCUGGAACCCACAGGCCAGACGGUGAAAGCCUGCCUGCCGCACUCCAGGCCGGUUUCUGCCGGUUAGACACUUGUGGGUACCGCCCCGCCCUCCCUCUCCGCUUGCUGAAACACGCCAGAGGGUGACAUCUCCUCCCGCCGGCCCGCCCCG